rnacentral:rRNA from 1 species
GACGAACGCUGGCGGCGUGCUUAACACAUGCAAGUCGAACGGUGAAGCGCCUUCCUUUUUGGUGGGUGUGGAUGAGUGGCGAACGGGUGAGUAACACGUGAGUAACCUGCCCCCUUCUUCUGGAUAACCGCAUGAAAGUGUGGCUAAUACGGGAUAUUCUGUGUCUGUCGCAUGAUGGGUCUGGGAAAGAUAUUGUUUCGGUGGGGGAUGGGCUCGCGGCCUAUCAGCUUGUUGGUGGGGUGAUGGCCUACCAAGGCGGUGACGGGUAGCCGGCCUGAGAGGGUGGACGGUCACACUGGGACUGAGACACGGCCCAGACUCCUACGGGAGGCAGCAGUGGGGAAUAGUGCACAAUGGGCGCAAGCCUGAUGCAGCGACGCCGCGUGAGGGAUGGAGGCCUUCGGGUUGUGAACCUCUUUCGCCAGUGAAGCAGGCCUGCCUCGUUUGUGGGUGGGUUGACGGUAGCUGGAUAAGAAGCGCCGGCUAACUACGUG